rnacentral:tRNA from 1 species
ACGGAUAUAGUAUAGCGGUUAGUACAGCUACCUUCCAAGUAGUUAGCAAGAGUUCGAUUCUCUUUAUCCGUA